UAUGUAGGGGGCUAGCGUUAUCCGGAAUUACUGGGCGUAAAGGGUGCGUAGGUGGUUUCUUAAGUCAGAGGUGAAAGGCUACGGCUCAACCGUAGUAAGCCUUUGAAACUGGGGAACUUGAGUGCAGGAGAGGAGAGUGGAAUUCCUAGUGUAGCGGUGAAAUGCGUAGAUAUUAGGAGGAACACCAGUUGCGAAGGCGGCUCUCUGGACUGUAACUGACACUGAGGCACGAAAGCGUGGGGAGCAAACAGG
rnacentral:rRNA from 1 species